rnacentral:rRNA from 1 species
UACGAGGGGGCUAGCGUUGUUCGGAAUUACUGGGCGUAAAGCGCGCGUAGGCGGUGAUCCAUGUCAGAGGUGAAAGCCCGGGGCUCAACUCCGGAAUUGCCUUUGAAACGGGAUCGCUAGAGUCCGAGAGAGGAUGGCGGAAUUCCUAGUGUAGAGGUGAAAUUCGUAGAUAUUAGGAAGAACACCGGUGGCGAAGGCGGCCAUCUGGCUCGGUACUGACGCUCAGGCGCGAAAGCGUGGGGAGCAAACAGG